rnacentral:miRNA from 1 species
CUGAUAAUUUUACGAUGAAUAG